rnacentral:lncRNA from 1 species
CGACCAUACACAACAAAGAAUAUAGACCUUACACAUAAAUAGUUCAGAAAGGUUGAACAACUAAAAGAUAGGGACUUUGAUAAGUUAUGACAUAUUUUUUUGGAAUCAAGGAGAUUAUGUACAUGCAUAAAGCUGUGUGCAUACUCAGGAAAAAGCUGAGAAGGCCCUAAACUCUCACCAAUGGCUGACCUUGAGGCACUGCAUAAGUAGGUGAAGGCUAAGGAGAAGCUGUUAACUUGUGGCUAAGUAUUAAAGGUGUGCCACAACAUGCAGAGUCCCCAAUACAAAGAGAAGUAUUGAUUCCAGGCAUUUAAGGAAAUCUGUCCAAUUAUUAGCACACUACUAAGCAUAUGAAUCAGAUAUUUCAUACCCAACAAAGAAUAUAGACUUUACAAAUAUAUAGUUCAGAAAGGUCAGUAAACAGCAAAAUAUAGCAACAACAGCAAAACCUGGUGAGGAAAGGGAGUCUGAUUUACAGAGUUGUAACAUGUUAUUUAAAAUGUCCAAUUUUCACCAAAAAAUUAUGAGACAUGCACAAAAACAAGCAAGAAUGGUCCAUGCACUGAUGGGGAAAAAAGCAAUAGAAAUUCCCUGAGGAAGCCCAGACUCCAGACUUACUCAAAAAAGACAUUGAAAAUGCUAUUUUAAAUAUGUUCAAAGAACCAAAGUAAACUAUGCCUAAAGAUCUAAGAGGAAGCCUGAGAACAAUGUCUCACCAAAUAGAGAAAAUCAAUAAUGAGAUAGAAAUUACGAAGAAAAGCCAAAAAGGAACGGACAGAUUCUCAGAGACCUGUGGGACACUGUCAAAUGUACCAACAUAGGCAUGAUGAAAGUCUCAUGUCAACCAGAAUUUUCACCCAUAGCCAUACAUGCCCAAGAGAAUUGAAAACAUGUAAUACUUGAAUGUGAAUGUUCAUAGUGGCAUAAUAGCUAAAAAAAAAGAAUCCAAAUAUCCAUCAUCUGAUGAUGAGUAAACAGUGUGGUUUAUACGUACAGUGGACUGGAUUCAGGCAUAAAAAGGAAUGAAGUAUUGAUACAGACUACAACGUGAAUGGAUGAGCCUUAAGAAUAUCAUGCUAACAAAGAAGCUAAACACACAAUAUGGUUCCACUUAUAUGCAAUGUCCAAAAUAAGUAAAUCCAUAGAGACUGAAAAUAGAUCAGUGAUUGCUAGGAGCUGGGAGAGGGAAGAAUAGUGGGUGCAUGCUAAUGAGUCUGACAUUUAUUUUUAGAAAGAUGAAUGUAUUCUGGAAUUGGAUAGCGCUGAUUAUACGACCUUGUGAAUAUACAAGAUCCACUGAACUGCACUUUAAAAGGGCACCUGGGCAAAUAAUAUUUCCCAGCCUCCGUAAAGUUAGGCAAAUUC